rnacentral:rRNA from 1 species
GACGAACGCUGGCGGCGUGCUUAACACAUGCAAGUCGAACGGAAAGGCCCUGCUUUUGUGGGGUGCUCGAGUGGCGAACGGGUGAGUAACACGUGAGUAACCUGCCCUUGACUUUGGGAUAACUUCAGGAAACUAGGGCUAAUACCGGAUAGGAGCUCCUGCUGCAUGGUGGGGGUUGGAAAGUUUCGGCGGUUGGGGAUGGACUCGCGGCUUAUCAGCUUGUUGGUGGGGUAGUGGCUUACCAAGGCUUUGGCGGGUAGCCGGCCUGAGAGGGUGACCGGCCACAUUGGGACUGAGAUACGGCCCAGACUCCUACGGGAGGCAGCAGUGGGGAAUGUUGCACAAUGGGCGGAAGCCUGAUGCAGCAACGCCGCGUGCGGGAUGACGGCCUUCGGGUUGUAAACCGCUUUCGCCUGUGACGAAGCGUGAGUGACGGUAAUGGGUAAAGAAGCACCGGCUAACUACGUG